CCGAGUUUACAACUCCCAAACCCCCUGUGAACUUAUACCUUUACUGUUGCUUCGGCGGGUUCAGCCCCGGGACCAGGCUCGCGAGGGCCUGCCCGGAACCAGGCGCCCGCCGGGGGACCAAACCAAACUCUUGUAUUUACCUUACACGCAUGUCUGAGUGGUAUUUAAAAAAUGAAUCA
rnacentral:misc_RNA from 1 species